CAGCAGCCGCGGGAACACGAAGGGUGCAAGCGUUAAUCGGAAUUACUGGGCGUAAAGCGUGCGUAGGCGGCUUGGUAAGUUAGAGGUGAAAGCCUGGAGCUCAACUCCAGAAUUGCCUUUAAGACUGCCGAGCUAGCAGGUGAGAGAGGUGAGUGGAAUUCCGAGUGUAGAGGUGAAAUUCGUAGAUAUUCGCAGGAACACCAGUGGCGAAGGCGGCUAACUGGUCCAUAACUGACGCUGAGGUGCGAAAGCGUGGGGAGCAAACAGGAUUAGAUACCCGGGUAGUCCCUGUCUCUUAUAA
rnacentral:rRNA from 1 species